CGUUAUGGUGGGGGACUCGUAAGAGACUGCCGGGGUCAACUCGGAGGAAGGUGGGGACGACGUCAAGUCAUCAUGCCCCUUAUGUCCAGGGCUUCACACAUGCUACAAUGGCCAGUACAGAGGGCUGCGAGACCGUGAGGUGGAGCGAAUCCCUUAAAGCUGGUCUCAGUUCGGAUCGGGGUCUGCAACUCGACCCCGUGAAGUCGGAGUCGCUAGUAAUCGCAGAUCAGCAACGCUGCGGUGAAUACGUUCCCGGGCCUU
rnacentral:rRNA from 1 species